AAAUUGAUUGAAAAAGUGAAAAGGAACUCAGCUGUAAUGAAACACAAGGCACUUUGGAACUAUAAUAGGUACGAGGUGGUUAGGGGCGUAUGGAAAGGGGUUAUGGUACCUGGCCUCACAUUCGGAAAUUCAGUACUGUGCAUGAAAUCGGAAGUUCAGGCAUGCAUGGAAACGAGACAGAGAAGUGUAGGCAGGUUGGCCUUAGGAGCACACGGGAACACCCCUAAUGAGGGAGUGCAGGGGGACAUGGGAUGGUCGUCAUUCGAAGGUAGAGAGGCAAUAAGUAAACUAAAAUUUGAACAGAGACUCCCAGCACUGGAGGAAAAAAGGUGGGCAGGAAAAGUGUACAAAUAUUUGUACAUGAAAAGUUUGAACACAAAGUGGACACUCAGAACGAGGAAGCUGAGGAAUAGAUACCUACAGCCGAGGGAGGGGGUCCAACGUGGUUCUAGUGUGGGAAAGGAGGUGAAGGAGACGGAAAGAAAAAUGUGGCAAGAAAGAAUGCUCGGAAAGCCAGCGCUAUCAAUGUAUAGGUCACAAAAACAGGAGGUUAAGAGAGAGCUCUUAUUUGAUAACUCGCGGGGCAGCUCACGAUUAUUCGAAGCUAGGACGGGGGUUUUGAGAACGAAAACAUACAGGGCUAAAUUUGAAGACGUGGACCUUCGGUGCACAGCUUGCGGAGCCGAAAUGGAGACCACUGAGCAUAUAGUGCUGAGAUGCACAGACUUUCGCCCGACCCUGGCAGAGGGAAUAGUGGCAGAUAUGGAAGGGGCAUUAGGUUUUCCCGGGGAAGAAGGGCAAAUAGACGAGAAAGAGUGGCAGUAACGAAGGGGAGACUAGAGGAUUGGUGGAGGAAGUCAAGGGAUAGAUAAUACCAUAAAUCGGGGAGAUAAUGUUUCCUCUACUGUUUUAGAUAGUUAUUUUGGGGGGAGGAGGGGAGUGAAAACUAGUUUAAGGAAAAGAGGAUAUAGAGAAAGGAAAAAAAGGAAUAAUAAUAAAAUAGGAGGGGGAGCAAAAGGCUAGGUGGCGCCAGCCGCCGCCCGUUACAAAGGGUAUAGCCGCCAUCCAUCCAUCCAUCCAUAAAAAAAACGGCCACUAAUGUCUCGGCCGUGGGUUCGUUAUCUAGUUGUGCGUCAUUCUAAGCCGUUCUGUACAUUUGUACUGAAUAUUAACUGGAGUCAUUUAGCUGUGCUGAUGCUGUUUUCCGUGUUUUUUGCAUCAGUGCUUCGUGACGUCGGCUGUAUUGCGUGUUUUCGCCGACGGCUUACUACCACAAUGACGGAAUCUGCGUUCGCCGCCUUCGUGUCUCGGUGCGUCUUUGUACGUCGCACGUUCGGAUAGCACUUUUUCCGACGGCUGGACAUCCUUCUUGUACCUUGGCGCUAGCUGGAUGACGGGACCUCAUCAUGAUCAGUGUAUUGCUUGCCUAUGUCUACAAGAACCGUCACGCGUGGCCUGUGACAGCAAGCUUUUGUGGGCAGCAAGUGCUCUCGUACGAAGGCUGGCCUACUCUGGCAGCAACGGCAAUCAUCUUCAAGAUUUAUCCAUGAUCACCUUUGCUGCUAUUUCUCACUCUUGUUAAUUACACUUCCUGCAUCUUUUCUAAUUUAUUAGGUAAUAAAGUAUGGAGUAUGUGACAUGGUGUGAAGUUGAUGUCUUGCUGCAUUUUCACUUGCAAUCAUCUUUUAUGCAUGAAAAGCUCAUCGUACAGUUUAUGAAAAGAAAUAACAGCAUAUUAUGAUUUAUC